rnacentral:rRNA from 1 species
GUGGGGGAUAUUGCGCAAUGGGCGAAAGCCUGACGCAGCGACGCCGCGUGGGUGAUGAAGGCCUUCGGGUCGUAAAGCCCUGUCGAGGGGGAAGAAACAGCCGUGAUCGAAUAGAUCACGGCCCUGACGGUACCCCUAAAGGAAGCACCGGCUAACUCCGUGCCAGCAGCCGCGGUAAUACGGAGGGUGCGAGCGUUGUUCGGAAUCACUGGGCGUAAAGCGCGUGUAGGCGGUCUGUUAAGUCUGAUGUGAAAGCCCGGGGCUCACCCCCGGAAGUGCAUUGGAAACUGACAGACUGGAGUCCCGGAGAGGAGGGUGGAAUUCCUGGUGUAGCGGUGAAAUGCGUAGAUAUCAGGAGGAACACCGGUGGCGAAGGCGGCCCUCUGGACGGUGACUGACGCUGAGACGCGAAAGCGUGGGGAGCAAACAGGAUUAGAAACCCUUGUAGUCC